rnacentral:rRNA from 1 species
UUUCUUUAGAAGUAUUUUAAAGGUAAUACCUGCUCAAUGAAUAUUAAAUUGCCGCAGUAUUAUGACUGUGCUAAGGUAGCAUAAUAAUUUGUCUUUUAAAUGGGGACUGGAAUGAAAGGUUUUAUGAGGGUAUGUUGAUGAUUUAAUGAACUUUUGAAGUUAAGGUUUAAGUUAAAAUUCUUAAAUUUAUUUGAGGGACGAGAAGACCCUGUGGAUCUUUAUAUUGGAUAUAAUAAAUUAUUAUAAAUGUUUUAUUAUUUUAAAAAUUUGAUUGGGACGAUUAUUAUUUUAACAUAAUUUUAAAGAUUUAUUUUGAUCCUUCUAAAGGAAUUAAGAUUAAGUUACCCCAGGGAUAACAGCGUUAUACUAUUGGAUAGUUCAUAUUGAUAAUAAUGUUUGCGACCUCGAUGUUGAAUUAAAAUUUCUUUUUAAAGCAGAAGUUAAAUUAGUAAGUCUGUUCGACUU